AGAGUUUGAUCAUGGCUCAGAAUCAACGCUGGCGGCGUGCCUCAGACAUGCAAGUCGAACGCGAAAGUCCCUUUCGGGGGACAAGUAGAGUGGCGCACGGGUGAGUAACACGUAGGUAAUCUACCUUCGGGUGGGGAAUAACAACCGGAAACGGUUGCUAAUACCGCAUAAUGCAGCGGCACCUAAUGGUGACAGUUGUUAAAGCGGGGGAUCGCAAGACCUCGCGCCUGAAGAGGAGCCUGCGGCGGAUUAGCUAGUUGGCAGGGUAACGGCCUACCAAGGCAACGAUCCGUAGCCGGCCUGAGAGGGCGGUCGGCCACACUGACACUGACAUACGGGUCAGACUCCUACGGGAGGCAGCAGUCGGGAAUUUUGGGCAAUGGGCGAAAGCCUGACCCAGCAACGCCGCGUGAAGGAUGAAAUCCCUCGGGAUGUAAACUUCGCAAGAACGGGGAGAAUAAGCCGGUGUCAACACCACCGGCGAUGACGGUACCGUUUGUAAGCUCCGGCUAACUCCGUGCCAGCAGCCGCGGUAAUACGGGGGGAGCAAGCGUUGUUCGGAUUUACUGGGCGUAAAGGGCGCGUAGGCGGCCACCGCAAGUCAAUUGUGAAAUCUCCGGGCUUAACUCGGAAAGGUCAACUGAUACUGCGGGGCUAGAGUGCGGAAGGGGCAACUGGAAUUCUCGGUGUAGCGGUGAAAUGCGUAGAUAUCGAGAGGAACACCUGCGGCGAAGGCGGGUUGCUGGGCCGACACUGACGCUGAGGCGCGAAAGCUAGGGGAGCGAACGGGAUUAGAUACCCCGGUAGUCCUAGCCUUAAACGAUGAAUGCUUGGUGUCUGGGGUUAUAAAGUCCCCGGGUGCCGUCGCUAACGCUUUAAGCAUUCCGCCUGGGGAGUACGGUCGCAAGACUGAAACUUAAAUGAAUUGACGG
rnacentral:rRNA from 1 species